UCGGCUACGUCACGCGGGGGCGUUCCCAUGCCUCACUACCCCAUCUGAAUAGCAGUGAGACCGCUGGAGUUGGAAAAUGUGUACAGCCAAUCAUGAAUCGCGGGUGGGAUUUUGAAUGGAUGGGCGGAGUUAUGGGCGGAUGUGAUGUAAAGCAUUAGCGACAGCAGUGUAGUCUUCACUUCACAACAAACAUGGCAGCGCGCUGUAGUACUAGUACUCAGUGCGCUGAAAUGGAUUCGGCUAUUUCCACGGUAUUGUCUUGUAUUCCAAAUGUUCAGGCAUUGAAAUACGAACAAAUGACGGCGCUUAAGGCGUUUGUUGGCGGCGAGGAUGUGUUUGCGUUUCUUCCGACCGGAUUUGGCAAAAGUUUGAGCUGGCUCCACUGGUCGCUAAAGCCGCUGUGAGAUGGACACUCCCAACUGAGCUCUAGGAGACGUUCUAUCCCACCCGAUUAUAUUUCACGUGCUAAAGCAAUGGGGAAAGUGCAGGAUCCAAUCUUUACUGUGGUGUUCCCCCUGGCUGCGUUAAUGGAGGACCAAGUCAGAGAGGCUGGAAAUCUAACGGGUAUGGAACUGGGAGGAAGACAUCCUUCAGGGACGUUGCCAGGCCAGCCGGUCUUCGGUAGCCCCGAGUCGUGGCUGAAGGACAAAUGACUGACCAUGCUAUCCUCAGACCUCUACCAGAAGAAUCUACUGGGCAUCGUUGUCGAUGAGGUUCACGUCACCUACAAAUGGAAUGAAAGGCCUUCCUGCUCAGUUGGGAGAACGUCACAGCAAAGAAGACAUGCCUGUCAUGGCUUAAAUGGCAUCUGCAGUCACAGAAGAUGGGACACAGAGAGCUGCUACAUAUGGAGAGAGUGCCAUUCAACAGUGAGCCCACCCAACAGGACAGUUUGCACUAGGUUGGAUCACAGCUUAUUGAAGAAACAUGAGAAGAGCAUUAGUCCCUAUAUCUUUGAUCGAACAUAUAAUAGUACAUAACCAACAACCUUCCUGUUUUCAAAGUGUUGCAUGUGCAGGGAAUCCCAGGUUAUGUUGAUUAAAAGGAUGAGUAUUUUGACAGUGAAACACCACAGCGUAGUAGCUGGCAGUGCUUUGCCGCAACCUCGUACAUGCUGUUGUACAAAUGUGUAUGAAUGACUGUUUUUGCAUAGAAGAACUGUAAAUAAAAUUACACAUUUGAAAACUGUUGCCAUGUUUUUUUCUUUGAGCAGCAAUGAUUAAAAAAAUUUAAAGAAGGAAGAAGUAUUGUAGACUGUUUAGUGUUGAGCACAGUUUAAUUUACUUCAAGUGACAACAUACCUUAACCUUUUUUAUAUGCAUUCACAGAAAGGCAACAGAAUCUUAUGGGAAAAAAAGUUGCACUGGGUUAUUUUAUAUACACUACUUACAUACACAAAUUAUUUACAUACAUUAUUACAGUACAUGCAUUUACUCCACCAAUUUUAUAUUAGUCUUGGCGCUCUUUCAAUUUAGCUUUGAUCCUGCGCCACAGGUUACUGCUUUUGCGAUUUAUCAGAAUGUCAUGACUAGAUGGGGGGGUGAAAACAACUCAGCCUCUCUGAAAAUAUCCUCUGUGUGACUAGCAACAUAAUGUGCUCCAGUGUGCAUUUGUCUGUCUGUUCACCAUGAUUUUCUGCAGUCCAAUAGACAUGCUGGUCCAAUCUGCUGUUUGUUUCAGUGAGACCGGGACAACUAUGUUCUAAAAAUGACUUCAAGUUGUUAAGGUGCUGUGGGCUAAGCGAUGCGAAAGAGUGAAAUUUACCUGCAGAAUUACGAGCAGUGCGCUGUGGGCACACUGUGGCUAAAGGCCUUGUAAAAAUAUCAAAUCUACAGUAUAGUUAUACGUCUCCCUCCUGGA